ACAACGGCCACUCGCGCGCAAGGAUCGAUCGUGAAAGACGGGUACUCGCUCAAGCACUCCUCCGCGAGAUCAUGGAGCCGACGAGCUGCAUCGGUAGGCUGAUAAGAUCGACAAUCAAGUUCACGUCCGAGCGCUUGGCAGAAUUCGAAGCGGCCCUUCUGCGAGACAUACGGCAGAAUUGGCAGGACUUCCCUCUCUGUCUGCUCAACCACAGGUGGAGGAACGACCAUUGGCAGCCAGUAGUUAGCGAUGUGGCUGAAAUGCAGCGAAUUACGGACGCCGCUCAAGAGCCGAAGGUAAACAAAUGUCUGGCGACUCUGCGGCCAUUCGUUCCUGACGAGAGCGGAAAAUGACGUAGGUGAAAAACCAUAGGAAAAUCGUGUUCGGAAAGUUUACACUAAUGCCUCGAUAGCGUGUAAUUUCGCGAGAAUGCGCGGCAGCUUAUCUCUCUCUCUCUCUCUCUCUCUCUCUCUCUCUCUCUCUCUCUCUCUCUCUCUCUGUCUCUCGGUAUCUGUCUCGCUCUGCAAAGAGGCAAUGGUCGGGGGCGUAGAAAAUACAGCCAAAGUCAUUGCUGCUGCACUUUUCCCGAGCUUUCUGAAGAAAUUGUCGAUAAGUUGCUUGCUCGAGUCAGAAAAAUCCCGGAAACUUGGGGCAAAGUAGCUCCGGCAAGCAGCAGCAGCAUCAUCGAGGACUAGGCGGCGGACCACCCGGAUCAUCAAGGACCAGCGGGACAUCGGUGGCAGCGGUGGACUAGGAGGAGGACCAGGACCAGAGGACAAGGACGAGGACCAGGAGCAGGACCAGAGGACAUCGCGGGAUCAUGGGUAAGUACCUCUCUUUGAGAGUACAUAAUAUAAAGUAUGUCAAUUAUCGUUUCGACGAUGCUUGACAUGCAAGGGGUGCUCUUGUUGUUGAUGUUGUUUUUGUUGCUGGAAACGAAAACAACAUCAACAACAAGAUGGAGCCUCGAAACAGCUAGGGCAUUAGAAAGUGUACGUGGGAUCUCUUAGUGCCAAAGCCCAGGGCACCCCACGUAUGCGAAGGGAUGGAGUCGGUAGGGCACGCCAACGCCCGCUCUAUCUCGAACGUAGCUUAGGAGGUUAAGAGGUGUUGCGGCGGGGAUGAUAGGGCAGCACCGGUUGGAACCAUUAGGGUUCCUCCUGGGAUAAGAAGUUUGGUGAUCAGGCCAGGCGAUUCUUGAAAUCACUGCCUAUAACCAUCGAACUCUUAUUACCGGAGUAACGCCAGCCAAUCAUCGUCACGCGACAACUAUCUUGUAGAUAGGUCUCGUGAGACAAGAUCGGCCUCAUCGAACAACGAUUAGGUCUCCAAGUAGGGUGCGUCUACGCGAAGGUAACACAGCCGAAGUUGCUUUUCACGUAGAUCCUUUGUAGGUUCGGUUGGUUACAGGCAGGUAGACAAUUUAUAGUAAUCAUCAUCAAGCAGUGUCAUUUCGUUUCUCGCGUCCGGGUAGGUAGGUACUCUCUUAAUGUGACCCAGUGAAAAUUUCACUGAUCUCAUCAGUGAAGCAACUUUUCACUGUUAAAACAGUUAUUAUUUCACUGCUUGAAAUUGUUCGGUUAUUUCAACUAUCAAAACAGUGAAUAUUCACUUUCUAAAAACAGUGAAAUUCAUUCACUGUUCAAAACAGUGAUUGAUCUUCCCGCCGAAUCGUAUCGAUUAGCAAAAUGGCCGCCGGCGGUGCAGUAGCGCGGAACGUCAGUUUGGCGGGAUCGUGCGACAUUAUAUUAGACGAACUCGUUGCUCGUUUCUAUUGCUGCUCUUGCUGCUUAUAAUAUAUUGGUACGCAAACAAUACUUCGUAUAAGCAUACGAAAAAUCAAAUUGAUGUAUGUACAGACAUACAAGAAGGUUAUCUAGAGAGAAGCAGCUUUUCAACUUAUUUGUUGUGUGCACUCGUUAAACAAAGUUUUUCAUUCCUCUAAAACCAUAAACGAUGGAUCAGAUGAAAGAUCCUGCAGAUUUGAGGAGUUAUUUGGAAAAUAUUAUGAAUGAUAAAUCAGCUGUCGAACUACUAGAAGGAUUCGCACUGAGAGAAGAUUGUGGCUAUAUAUAUGUCCACGAUGAAAAUUAUUCAAGAUGAUAAUCUCAAGGCUUUACUGAUCUUAAUCGACUUGCUUCCUACAUCGAACGCAUGCAUAAGAGGUGGCAAAGGUGGCAAAGGUGGGAAAGUCAAAUCAUCAAAAAAUUUGCGUAAGGAACCAGUAAAAAUCACUCCUCAAAAAUGCAUGUUAGAAUUCGUUUCUAGUAUUGAAAGCAUACAGAAUUUUUCAGAAGAAAAAAGACUGCGCAUGGGAACGCCUGUUCAACCGUACAUAGUCGCUAUUGAUGGGCGUACUACACAGUUUCAAGUCCAAGGCGAUGGCUGUAUUAUUGCCCGAAAACCCUCAAAUGAAAUAAUCACUACAUUUCACCUUCUGUUUAAAAUGUAUUAUGUUUUUAACUUAACGUAUCCUAUUCUACUACAGAAUUUUUAUCUCUUUAUGCAAGUAAAUGUUUAUGGCAUACAGGACAAGUGCCCUGAAAGUGUAUCGUCGUUGUAUACUGCACUAAAAUUCUGUAGAAGAAGCGGUUGAUGAAUAAAUCUCCGAAAAUAAUACAGAUGAAGAAUAAAAUUGUUUAAUAU